GGGACGUGGGAGAUGACGACGCCGGUGGCAACGAGCGCCUCCUGCGCGGCGCGGGAGAGCUGGACGACGUCCCCGAAGGCGGUGAUGGAGAGCGGGCCGCGGACGCCGGCGGCGCGGAGCGCGGCGGAGACGCGCUGGGCGACGCGGCAGACGUUGACGUUCUGGGGGACGUGGCAGUUCUCGAAGUCCCACCACACCGACACCUUGACCGCCUUGCUCUCCUCCUCGUGCUGCCGCCGCCAUCCGGGGCCUCCCGCCACCUCCGAUGACGAGCUGAGGCGGCGGCGGUGGGCGUGUCCCUGGUAGCGGCGGCGGUGGGCGCCCGCGGAGGGGAAGCGGCGGAGGAGGAGCUGCGGCAACAUGGCUGGGGGUUCGGAUCGGCGCCGCCUCUCCCUCUGGGCCGGGGUGGGAUUGCGGUUCGUGCCAGGGUUUUGUUAAACCCCUUUUUAACAGCAGUCGAAAAGCGGCCACCGUCCGAUGCGCUCCCAACGGCUCUGAUCUGGCGGAAUGGUCACACCACUCGGUGCGGUGCCGAACGCAUUUCUCCCAGCCCAGGUAGCCCGAGAUCCCCGCUUAUUCCCCGGCCGGAACAACGCAUCCAAGCUCCUCUCCGCUCCGGCGACGGCGACGGCGACGUGCCGGCGGUUACCUUCCUCCUCCUCCGUCGACCAAGAUCCACCAACGCGCGCACCGGCUCCUCUUAUUUCAGCUACGUCACAUCACCGAUUUCACACGCAAUGGAUGGGCAAAGCAGAAAGCACAGGAUUUUGAUGGUGUCCGACUUCUUCUUCCCAAACUUUGGUGGUGUGGAAAGCCACAUCUAUUAUCUAUCACAGUGCCUCCUUAAGCUUGGCCAUAAGGUUGUUGUCAUGACACAUGCAUAUGGAAAACGUUCUGGAGUACGAUAUGUUACUGGUGGCUUGAAGGUUUAUUAUGUGCCGUGGAGGCCAUUCCUGAUGCAGAAUACACUACCUACAUUAUUCAUGACAUUUCCAAUCAUAAGGACAAUUCUUAUUCGUGAGAGGAUAUCUGUUGUGCAUGGACAUCAGGCCUUUUCAACACUGUGCCACGAAGCGUUGAUGCAUGCUAGGACGAUGGGAUAUUGAUCAGGCCAUAUGUGUGUCUCACACAAGCAAAGAGAACACUGUCUUGAGGUCAGGGAUAUCUCCGGACAAAGUUUUCAUGGUUCCUAAUGCAGUGGAUACCGCAAUGUUUACUCCCUCCUCCAACCGCUUAAGCUGUGAUGAAAUCAUUAUUGUUGUGAUAAGUAGAUUGGUAUAUCGAAAAGGUGCUGACCUUCUUGUUGAAGUCAUUCCAGAAGUAUGCCGUCUAUUUCCAAAGGUUCGCUUUAUUGUUGGAGGUGAUGGUCCAAAACGUGUGCGACUUGAAGAGAUGAGGGAGAAGUUCUCCCUUCAGGAUAGAGUUGAGAUGUUAGGGGCUGUACCUCAUGCUCAAGUACGAUCUGUUCUGAUAUCUGGUCAUAUAUUUCUGAACAGUUCGCUUACAGAAGCAUUUUGCAUAGCCAUUCUGGAAGCAGCAAGCUGUGGGCUUUUGACAGUAAGCACUAGAGUCGGAGGGGUUCCAGAGGUUCUACCAGAUGACAUGAUAGUACUAGCAGAACCAGAUCCAGAAGAUAUGGUACGGGCUGUGAGGCAAGCUAUCGACAUACUUCCUGGUAUAGAUCCCCAAAUUAUGCAUCGCCGGAUGAAAAAACUCUACAGUUGGGAUGAUGUGGCCAAAAGAACAGAGAUUGUCUACGAUCGUGCAAUGCAGUCAUCAAACACUAAUUUGCUAGAUCGUCUUCCCCGAUACCUCACAUGUGGAGCUUGGGCAGGCAAACUGUUUUGCCUCGUUAUGAUCAUAAACUACCUUGUGUGGUGCCUUCUAGAAUUCCUGCAGCCUGCUGAAGGUAUCGAAGAAGUCCCAGAUAUAGGGCCACUGCACAUUCAUUCGGAUUCAGUAGAUGACCAGUGCGAAGCGCAACGAAAUUGAACUGUUUUGCAACCAUUGUGGCAUGGAUCGUAUUGGAGGUCGCGAUAUCUAUUUUAGGCUGGCUCUCACUCUGGAAUUUCUUUCAGUGUUUCCCGGUUCUGCAUUGACUGUUUUGAGAACAAGUCUUUGGCGAAUGGGAUAACUAUGAAAUCAUCUCGUCACACCAAAUACUGGAAUUUACAGUCGUGUUGCAUAAAGUUAGUGGUGUGAGUACUUAAUGCCAUUGCCAACUUUUCAUCUGAUGUGUCUCUUGUUCCAAUCCUUGGACAUCAGCUGCUUCUUGGUGCUAGUUUCUACCACUAGAGAUAUGACGGUCUUGGUGCUACUUAGUGAUCUAGACGCUCUUAUCUGCAGAUUGUAUACUUAUUGUUCAGUCAUUGACA
rnacentral:rRNA from 1 species